GGCGGUUCUGCCGCCGCGAGCUGCAGGUCCCGGGCUCCGGCGUGCGGCGGCUGGAACAGAAGAGGGUGCUGCCGCCCCGGGCUGGCAGCGAGCUCCGCAGGUCGCCGCGGAGUAAACAUGAAGUUACCCCAGUAUGAAGGAGGAAGCCUUUCCCCAGCUUGAGACAUCUCAAUUUUUCCCUGAUAUAAAAAGAAGAGGCCAGAUACCAAUUUGUGUAAGACAGAUCUACUUGUUCUUUCUUCCUGGAUACUCUGUGAUCCCAGUAUGUUGA
rnacentral:lncRNA from 1 species